GCUUGACUGCGAGACCUACAAGUCGAGCAGGGUCGAAAGACGGACUUAGUGAUCCGGUGGUUCCGCAUGGAAGGGCCAUCGCUCAACGGAUAAAAGCUACCCCGGGGAUAACAGGCUUAUCUCCCCCAAGAGUUCACAUCGACGGGGAGGUUUGGCACCUCGAUGUCGGCUCAUCGCAUCCUGGGGCUGUAGUCGGUCCCAAGGGUUGGGCUGUUCGCCCAUUAAAGCGGUACGCGAGCUGGGUUCAGAACGUCGUGAGACAGUUCGGUCCCUAUCCGUCGUGGGCGUAGGAAAUUUGAGAGGAGCUGUCCUUAGUACGAGAGGACCGGGAUGGACAUACCUCUGGUGUACCAGUUGUCGUGCCAACGGCAUAGCUGGGUAGCUAUGUGUGGACGGGAUAAGUGCUGAAAGCAUCUAAGCAUGAAGCCCCCCUCAAGAUGAGAUUUCCCAACUUCGGUUAUAAGAU
rnacentral:rRNA from 1 species